rnacentral:lncRNA from 1 species
CUGUCCGAGGUUUCUAAAUGAAUAUGACAUCUUCUCUAUCAAUGUCCUCAAAUAUUUCCCGGAAAAGUUUUUUGCAACCAAGCAUUUCACUCCCAGUAGCAUGCAAUGUAAGGUAGUGAACAUUCAUGCAGAAAAUGAAAGUGACAAUAGUGGAUUUCUUGUCUCGAAUAAUGACACCUCCCUCUCACAACUGCAUAACUAUCACGGUUUUUUAACAGAUGAAAAUUGCUAUAAGAGCCACCACAAGCAAGAUUUUAAGCUAGUUGCAACUCCUCCUCUUCCUAAAGGAUUCAAAAAUAUUUUUGUCGUAUCCUUUCUUGGUGCAACCUUUUCAUGAGAAACAAUCAAAAUGAUUUAUGCCUUCCUCCAUUCUUUCUCGUCAGUGGAGCCAAUGGUUCGGGGAGAUCAACCAUACUUAAAAGUGUUGCGAAGUUUCUAGGGCUUCAGUAUUUCAAAACUGAUUGCUUAUUCCUGCAGACCCCUACACCUGGCUAUGCAGAUGCUCAGCUGAAAAACCUGUUCUCAAAUUUAGCACUUGUGCUCCCUGUCUUGUUCAUUUCGCCAAUUUUGAGGCACUGUGCGUCAACUCCAAUGGGAUGAAGGAUGAUCGUUUAGCCUCAAACUUCAUCAAUCAAUUUAAUGACCUGAAGAGUGAAUGGCCAAUUGUAAUUUUCGCAACAGCACAAAACCCUGCCAGAAUUUCUGGAACCAUUGCUCGUUUAUUUUUGGAGUCAUUAGAAAUGGAGGCCCUCGAUCAAUUUGAAAGAAUGUCUGUCCUGUUUUGGACUGCAGAGUUGCAACAGAUUGCUAUUAAUCCAGGAUGUCUUCAAAAUUUAGCCGAACGAACAACUGGAUUCCUGUUCACUGAUCUCAUCAAUCUCCUGGACCAAACUAUUUUAAACUGCCACAAGACUAACUCCUCAAUAAAACCGCAAACUGGCUCUUUGGAAUGGGAAAAUUUUGAAGUAUAUUCAGUGAGUCAUUGUAACUUGUAUGAUUCCUUAUCAGUGAUUUUUUUACCCUUUUUCAUUUGUUUAUCCUCAGCCUAACAAUCCCUAGUAAAAAGAGUGGAACAGGGUGUCGUUUUUAAGCGACUAUCAGAACUCUUUGAUCAUCAGUAUCUCCCCCUUUCCAUUUGGUAUUUUCAGGAUGUUUGUGAGGUUUAAACGUUCUGUGCUGGCCUUAGGGCUUUUUACCAGCGCCAGCUUGUUUCCUCUUGUACCUCCCAGCAGAAGGGUGAAGUAGUGGGUGUGGUGUUGAACUUUCCCAGCUCUGGUGAGCAGUGGUGGAUCUAGAGACAGCUCGAGAGAAGGACAUCUGGCGAUUUCAAGUGGGGGUCUGGGGUGUAACGGGGAAAUUUUUCCCCCGUUUUAAGUUUAAGCCCAUGUGUAUUCACAAAUUGAAAAAAGAAGGAAGUCGCGAGCGUGCAUGCUUGGCACUGCUGCGGAGCGCACAAGCUUAGUAGCGCCGCGUCUCCACCGACGAGCUAAGGAGGAGAAAGAAUAUUUCGACGCUCGGGGUCCGCUUGAGUACCGUGAUGCGCCAACAGGGAGCACUGUGGCAAAUCUUAUCAUCAUUAAGUAUUUUGCAUUUUUUUUUUGAAACUUCAUAAAUUGUGUACCGUAAUUCCAAUCGUAUGAAUCGCUAAACCAAAUUAGGCCGAGGCCAAAUGUGUAAAUUUGAUAUUUUUAUUGUAAUUUAAUAGUUCAUCUUUACAAUGAUGAACGAAACUCGAGCCCUUUGUUUUUUUUGAAAUUUGUAAAUUGCUGGCCUCCCAACCAGACCAAAUCUUUAGGGGAAGUUCCCAUCUAGCAAACAGUCAAGCACAGAAUCCAGUAAUUUUUUUUCUGUCUAUUUGAUGUAAUUGUGAAAAAAAUAAAAGGUAACCAACUGGCCCAAAAUACUUUCUUCCAAAUCAGGAUUUUCCCCAGUUUCUGCUGUUUUUGCUGCAAUGUCUGCUUGGUAGAUAUCUAUUAAAGCUAGAUAAUGAAGAUAAUUUUUCAACCCAGAAUAUUUUGCCCUUUCCUCAACGAUGAAACAUAAUUUUUCCUGUCAUAUUUUUCAUCAGAGAAAAUUCAGUUGACUCAUGCAAGCAGCAUAGGAGCACCAAAAAUCCCUGCUGUCUCAUGGAUGAUGUCGGUGGACUUGGAUGCCUGAAACAAGAAAUUUUGAAAAUGUUAUCUACUCUCCCAAUCUCCAACAACCUUCGCCGUUCAGGUACUUAACUUCUUUCACUAAGACAGAAAUGGGCAAAAUUCAGAAAUCUUCAAUAUUCGACCUUACACAUCAUGGUGAAACUGCAGAAAUACUCG